rnacentral:rRNA from 1 species
UACAGAGACUGCGAGCGUUAUUCGGAUUCACUGGGCGUAAAGGGUGCGUAGGCGGCGCGGAAAGUAGGGUGUGAAAUCCCUCGGCUCAACCGAGGAAUUGCGCCCUAAACUACCGUGCUCGAGGGAGAUAGAGGCGAGCGGAACUUAGGGUGAAGCGGUGAAAUGCGUUGAUAUCCUAAGGAACACCGGUGGCGAAAGCGGCUCACUGGAUCUCUUCUGACGCUGAGGCACGAAAGCUAGGGUAGCGAACGGG